AUUAAAUGCUGGAGAUGUCACACGUUUUCAGUUUUAGGAAUAGACAAAAAAGAAGUUUAAUUAUUGACUUUAUCCUUGUUCUUCAUAAGUGACAGAUCACGAUCUGCUUUCAGAAACAAAGGAUGAAGUAUAAAAAGGAUCAGAUUUUAAAAGCUGGAGAUGUCAGACUUUUUCAUUUUAGCAUUAGACAAAAAAGAAGUUUAAUUAUUGACUUUAUCUUCGUUCUCCAUAAGUGACAGAUCACGAUCUGCUUUCAGAAACAUAGGAUGAAGUAUAAAAGGGAUCAGAUUUUAGAAGCUGGAGAUGUCAGACGCUUUCAGUUUAAGGAAUAGACAAAAAAAAAAAAAAGAUUAAUUACUGACUUUACCAUUGUUCUCCAUAAGUGACAGAUCACGAUCUGCUUUCAUAAACACAGGAUGAAGUAUAAAAAGGAUCAGAUUUUAAAAGCUAGAAAUGUCAGACGUUUUCUGUUUUAGGAAGAGGCAAAAAAAUUUUAAUUAUUGACUAUACCUUUGUUCUCCAUAAGCGACAAAUCACGAUCUGCUUUCAGAAAC
rnacentral:misc_RNA from 1 species